AAUCAAGUACUGGACACCCCAGGCAGUGUAUUACACAAUCAGGAACACACUCAUUGUGAAAGAGGUCCAACUUUUUUUAGGUUUACUGGAAACUCCACAGAGUGCACUCUGCCAUGGGGGAGAAAAGAUUCUGCAUGUCUGACUUUUUAACUGCAACUACAAUAGGACUAAAAAAAGCACAGUGUCUAAAAAGUAUAAUUUAUUAAAAAAAAAACAUGAUAGAUUGCUAAACUGAAAUGAACUGGAAAAAAAAUAGUUUACCUAUAUUUAAUUUCGAAAGUCACUUUGAUUUUUCAAUUUCUGACUGCCUGUUCUACUAUAGAGUGCACUGUUUUUGGAAGUGUGCCAUUUUGUAUUCUGAAUUUCACCUUCUUCACGUCCUUGUUGUUGACAGUGAUGUAUUUCUUUUGCUGUUUAUGUGGUCUGAAUCACUGAAUAAUUUGGGAUGAUUUGGGAUCUGUCCACAGUGUACUGAUGUGUGUUGAGAUAUUUAAGGGGCCAACAUUGUGGUGUGUGUGCGUGUGGGUUUGGAUGCUUCUGCAGUGGACUGAUGAUGAGUCUUCUGCAGUCGUGUGCAAUAGGAAUCUUCCAGCGUGACACAGCGACCCUUCCCAGUACAUUCAGGAAGUUGGAGGUGUGAGAAAUGGCUUCUAAAUGACUCGGCUCUCCACUGCGUUUUUAACACUCCAGUGCCUCAGAGAGAAAGACCACACCUGAAGCCCCGUCUUCUUCCUGGAUAACCUUGUACAAAUUCCCAUCUCUUACUUUUUCUACUGAUGAUGAAGUUUCCAUACCCAUCAUCUUGACAACUCCUACUCAGCACUCUUCUGGAGUGACCUGGACAACAAAGCAGAAGUCACCCAGAACCCGAGCCCAAGUUCUCCAAGUUCUUCCCUCUACUACGGAUCCACAAUAACUCUCCAAUCCAUUCCAGGGUGUGGAUCUGGAGUCUAUUCAAGGAACAUCACACAUGAGAUGGGAAUACACCCUGAAUGGUGCCCCAGUCCAUCACAGGACACAAUACACACACUCAGUUCCACAAAAUUACCUAGCAAAUUACGGUACUUGAGGGUACCACCCCAAUGACAAGGAAAGAUAUGGUACCAAUCCACCCACUGGCAUGUUUUAGAAGGUGGGAGGAAACCAGAGGACCCAGAGGAAACCCACACAGACGGAAUAUGUCAAACUUCAUCCAGACAGUCACCCAACCUCAGGUUUGAACCAGGGACCCUGGAGCUGUGAGGCAGCAAUACUACUUACAUUCUGCAUCCUAUAAUGAAAAUCUGAUUUGAUGUGACAAGGAAUUACAUUUUUAAAACUUGAGCCCACAUAUCUUGAGAUCCAGCAGCUAUAACAUUUAGUUCAGUCUACUGUGUCUUAAAAGGUAAAGCGACACACUGAUUAAAAUGACCCCAUGGAGAAAACCCACUGCUGCAAAAACUGUACAAGUUGAUGACAGUUUACCCUCUGGUUCUGUGCGUUCCACAUUUCCCAUUAACCGUGUUUGAAAUAGAGUUCCUCUUUGCAGGGGUCCCUUCAGUGGUCUACUCAGUCGGAGCCGAAGUGCUGACUCCCUUCCUUUACUUCACUAUAAUGGGUUUGUUUUUAGCCAGGUCUCUCUGGGAAGUGGCGGGAGUGUAACGACGUUCACUUUCUGCUGCUCUGGCUGUUUAUUUUGAUUAGCUGAUGGAUUUGUCGACAUGGCCGUCGCUGGGAAUUUGACACAGCAGGUUCGGAGGUCAAACGCACACCAUAGUAUGAGC